rnacentral:lncRNA from 1 species
AGUGUCGCUAAAGGUGAGAUCGGUAUAGUAGAUCGAGCGCUCGGCGUCGCGGUCGCGCGGCCCGCGCACAAUCUCGCACCACCACGAACCGCUGCGUCCGCGCUCGGCGCUGCGCAAGAGCAGGCGGUCGCCCUCGGUCGACGGCACCACGUCGAAUGGGUCCCACCAGAGACCGCGUGUUUCGCACGACAGCACGCGCGCGUCGAGAUCGAUGACGCACCACGCCGCGCUCGCCCGGCUGUCGCCGCCGCGUGCCGUUGCCGGACCUCCUCGUACGCCGUCGUCGUGCGCGAUGGCAAUGGCGCGCGGCACGGCCACCAUCGGUUGCCACAGGGCCGCCAGUUCGUCGAGCAUGGUCAUCGGCGUCGUCAUCGUUGUUGUCGUGGGCAACAUUGUCGCCGCGCCUGAUGCGGUGCGCGCCGGUGUGUCAGUGAGCCCGACGGCUCUGGCGAUGCGCUCCAUGACGGUCGAGAUGGCCUUCAUCGCAGGCACACUGGCGACCUGUUUUUUUUGUGAAUUCAACAGAAAUGCGAAAAACACGAGACAAUAAGACGUCUGUG